AAGAUUUUUUUAGGAGGGGCGCCAACUGCAACGCGUGCUCACUAUCCCACUGAAGCUAGUCGGGUAUAUAAAAGCGUUUGCGUUCAAGCUCAACUAAGACAGUUAACAACUGAGUUUACUUAAAGAAACAACAUGAAAUUCCUUGUGAUUUUUGUAGUCAUCAUCGCAUGCGCCAACGCAUAUCUGGUACGCGUACCAGUCGAUUCCAUCUCAUCGGCAUCGAGUGAGGAGUUACUAAUUACACCACCUGGCGGUCAGCCUCAACCGGUUUCAAUUUCCGAUUCCAUUUCUUCGGCAUCCAGUGAAGAACUGCUGCUACUACCAACUGGUGCCGCCCCUCAGCGCACGCACUUAUCUGGUGUAGGUGUCGUGUCACAACCCAUUUUGCAAGCCGUGAAGGUUAAGGUGCCUCAAUACGGUAAUGCUUUGAAUACCAAUCGCAUACUCACUCAAAUCUUUGGACCACAAGAAGCCAACGUACAAGGUGCGCGUGUUUACGGUUAAGUUGAAAGACAGGAAUAUGGACAAUGACCAAGUGGCGACCUCAGGAAAUAGAAAAUGGAAACCUUGAACACUUGCUUUUGCGAACCCAAGCAAAUUUGGAGAGAGAGAAUAUGAAAUAAUAAUCGAUACAUUUACCUCAUAUACUUAAAAAAAACAAUAUUCUUGAACAUUCUUUAGUUAUUUGGAAGAGCAGAAGAACUAGAGAUGAACUACGAAAAGCUUAAAUCCUCUCUGAUGAUAGCUUCGAGAUACAAGAUCAGUAAUGAUCUUUAGUUCUCCUUGUUAGCAAUACUAAGAUAAAGAAAUCAUCAUCCAGAGGCAAGUACUACAGGAAUUAAAAUACCAACUUUGUUAAUCGAAACUUCGGGAAUAUUAUAAAUCUGAAACUAUUUUGGCAAGCCCGUUUAGUAAAGCUCCGAACAAUCAGCGCUUUCAACCGAACAAACUUAAUAAACUAAAAUAAAAGCUCCACAGGUUUAAACCGUCUUUAUAGCAUUAAGCGGUUUUUGAGAAAUACUUUCUUGAUUGAUAUUAAAACUAACUAUAAUGUAAGCCUUUCCGAAUUAAAUGUACUCAUCUCA